AAAACAUGUCUAUAUGAGAGAUAUAUAGAGUCUAGCCUGCCCAUUGGGUUUUUCUAAAAGGCCGCGGUAUUAUGACCGUGCAAAGGUAGCAUAAUCAUUAGUCUUUUAAUUGGGGGCUUGUAUGAAUGGUUGGACGAGAAGUAAGCUGUCUCUAGUUAAUGAAUUGAAUUUAACUUUUAAGUGAAAAGGCUUAAAUGAUCUGGAGGGACGAUAAGACCCUAUAAAGCUUUACAUUGGAUUUAUUAAAAAGUAAUUUAAAUAAUAAAAGUUUAUUAGUAAGGAGAUGUUUUGUUGGGGUGACAAGAAUAUAAUAAAUAUAACUGUUCUUUUUUAGUUCAAAAAUAUUUGAAUAAGAGAUCCUUAGUAGAGAUGUUAGAGUAAGUUACUUUAGGGAUAACAGCGUAAUUUUUUUUGAGAGUUCUUAUCGACAAAAAAGUUUGCGACCUCGAUGUUGAAUUAAAGAUUCUUUAUAGCGUAGAAGUUAUAUAAGAAGGUCUGUUCGACCUUUAAAUCUUUACAUGAU
rnacentral:rRNA from 1 species